AUGCACAAAAUGAGCCGUCAUCCUCCAAGGGAUCGUCAUCCUCCAAAGGAUCGUCAUCAUCUGGUGAACAAAAUAGAUUUUCAUCAUCGGGUGGACAAAAUGGAUCUUCAUCCUCCAAUAAAGAAAUACAUGGGUUGGCUGAGCAAAGUUGUUAAAAGUUCGGUAAAUAAAGUUAUAAGAGGACAAUACGACGGGAACUUUAGUGAAGGCUAUUCAACCCAGCACGCUACGUCACAUGGUACACAUGCCAGUGACAAUGAAGACAUAGAUCGUGCUAUUGCAUUAUCCUUAUCAGAGGAAGGUCAAAGGAAGGGAAAGGCCAUUGAUACUGAUGAUCAUUUAGAAGAAGAUGAAGAGCUUGCACGGGCUCUGCAAGAAAGUUUGAAAGAUAAGCAUCCUCUUCGUCAGAAAAUUCCGGUGGGGGGAGUUCACUCAGAUAGUACUCCAGCAACUAGCCUACUGCCAGAUAUCUUGCCAUCAAGUAGAUCGAGGGUUUGUGCUGGAUGUAAAACUCCACUUGGACAUGGACAGUUUCUCAGUUGUAUGGAUUCUGUUUGGCACCCUCGGUGCUUCAGGUGCUCAGCUUGCAGUGAGCCAAUAUCAGACUCUGAGUUUGCAGUACAUGAAGAUCAUCCAUACCACAGUACCUGCUACAAGGAGAAUUUUCAUCCAAAAUGUGAUGUUUGCAAGAACUUUAUUCGAACAAAUAAAAAUGGUUUAAUUGAAUACCGGGCCCAUCCUUUCUGGAUGCAGAAGUAUUGUCCUUCGCAUGACAAUGACGGUACUCCUAGGUGUUGCAGUUGUGAACGAAUGGAGCCAAAGGAUAUCAAGUACAUAACAUUAGAUGAUGGCCGGAAGCUCUGCUUGGAGUGUCUAUAUACUUCAAUAAUGGACACAGACGAGUGCCAACCAGUAUACAUUGAUAUCCAGGAAUUCUAUGAGGGUUUGAACAUGAAAGUAGAGCAACAGAUCCCCUUGCUUUUGGUUGAACGUCAAGGUUUAAAUGAAGCCAGGGAAGUAGAGAAAAUGGGGCAUCACCUUCCUGAAACCAGGGGUCUCUGCCUAUCGGAAGAGCAAAUUGUCAGAAUGAUAUCGAGACGACCAAUAAUUGGACCAGGAAGCAAAAUGAUAGACAUUUCUACAGCACCAUACAAACUAGUUCGGCGGUGUGAAGUGACUGCAAUUCUUGUACUAUAUGCUUUGCCAAGACUGCUCACAGGCUAUAUUCUAGCUCAUGAGAUGAUGCAUGCAUACCUUCGACUUAAAGGAUACCGAAUCCGUAAUCCAGAGGUUGAAGAAGGCAUCUGUCAGGUCCUAGCUCAUCUCUGGCUUGAGUCUGAAAUCGUGUCAGGUUCAAGCAGUAGCAUUGCAACCACAUCUGAAGCAGCAGCUGUAGCAGCAGAAGCAGCAGUAGCAGCAGAAGCAACAGCGACACCUUCUUCAACAUCUUCCUCGGCGAAAAAGGGUGAAAAGACUGACUUUGAGAAAAAACUUGGAGAAUUCUUCAAGCACCAGAUCGAAACAGAUCCCUCUGCAAUAUAUGGAGAUGGGUUUCGAGCUGGCAUUCGAGCAGUUGAACGAUAUGGCUUGAGAGGUACCCUUGAUCAUAUCAAGCGGUCAGGUUCUUUUCCAAGUUGA
rnacentral:rRNA from 1 species